rnacentral:pre_miRNA from 1 species
GGGGGGAGGCGGGAUCCUGGGCUGUGUCCCGGCGCCCUGUGCUCCGGGGCCUGCGCUGUUGGAUUCGCGCUCCCGCCCCGAAGACCCCU